AAGAAGGGUCGGUGACAUACUUAUUUGUGGUCCCUUUUGUCUUUUGUCUUUUUCUCUUUCCCUCGUGUGUAAGGCGUUGAGUUGACAACCAAAACUAAAGCAAACGAAAGGCUUUUUAAAUGGGCCGAAAUGUUGGAUUAUCCAAGGAUUGGGUCAAGCCCAUUUAGAAGUUGUUAAACUGUAAUGUGAAAGAAACCCUUCGCUUUUUAAGACGGCGACCGGAUUAGUUGAUCGAGCGGCGGCGAUUGAUUUCGAUCCGAAAGAAUGUUUCGGAGGAACAGGUUCUUGUCUCUUCCGAUGGUCGUUGGAGCUGUUGUGUAAGUUCUCUUUUUCAUCCUCACUCGUCUCCUCAGCGAUAAGUUAGAUCGUGAAAGAAUGUUUCGGCGAUUUAUUUCGAUCUGAAAGAAUGUUUCGGUAGAUGAUUACUAAAAGUUUAUUACUUGAGUGAUAAGUUAGAUCGCGUAUCAUAGCUCCUUGAAAGCCCUCAGGUUUUGUAAGAAUGGAUCUGAACAUUGUAAAAUUGGAAUUCGAGAUGAUAUUUGAGGAUCGGACAUUCUGGAUCAGUAAUGAGCGAUCUGAAUAGGGUUUUGUUGUUCUUUGAUUAUUCUGCAGGAUUGGUGUCGUUUCAGGUAAAGCUAUUUUUGGGCCACCACUAGAUCAGUAUUGGCAGAAGAAGCUCGAAGGAGAAGCUGCUGCCAAGGAAGCUAUUGAAAAGAGCUCAGAUUAAAGCAGCAUAAUCAUCCUAAAGAUUUUGGUUUUGUGACCAGAGACUUGUGUAAUAUCACAGACUACUAAAGAGCUUCGAUAAUUGUUUGCAAAAUUAUAUAAGGAAGCACUCUUUAGUGUAGGAUGCGAUACAAAAAAGCCAGAAAGUGUAAUAAUGUUGUAAGUGCCUUGCGUAUUACGUUUUUGCAAAUCGAAGGAGAAUGAUAAAAUCCCUAAAGCAUCAUUCACUUCUUCCUCGGAAUAAAACUCAAAACCCCUGUUGACACA
rnacentral:lncRNA from 1 species